rnacentral:rRNA from 1 species
AUUGAACGCUGGCGGCAUGCUUUACACAUGCAAGUCGAACGGUAACAGGCCGCAAGGUGCUGACGAGUGGCGCACGGGUGAGUAAUGCAUCGGAACGUGCCCAGUCGUGGGGGAUAACUACUCGAAAGAGUAGCUAAUACCGCAUACGAUCUAUGGAUGAAAGCGGGGGACCGUAAGGCCUCGCGCGAUUGGAGCGGCCGAUGUCAGAUUAGGUAGUUGGUGGGGUAAAGGCUCACCAAGCCAACGAUCUGUAGCUGGUCUGAGAGGACAACCAGCCACACUGGGACUGAGACACGGCCCAGACUCCUACGGGAGGCAGCAGUGGGGAAUUUUGGACAAUGGGCGCAAGCCUGACCCAGCAAUGCCGCGUGCAGGAAGAAGGCCUUCGGGUUGUAAACUGCUUUUGUACGGAACGAAACGGCUCUGGUUAAUACCCGGGGCUAAUGACGGUACCGGAAGAAUAAGCACCGGCUAACUACGUG